rnacentral:lncRNA from 1 species
UUUCACCUUUUCUUCCCUUCUUUUUCUCUUUCCUCAGAUAAACCAAAGAUGAAACAUGCGAAUCCUGGAAAAGAGAAAGAACUGAAAUAUUCAGCUGCUAUCAAGGAUAAAGAACAUUCUAAAGAAAAGGAAGGAAAGAAUCCUACAGCUUUAAAAGAUAAAGAAUCACUGAAAGGAAAAAAUCCCAAGAAUCCAGAAGAGUCAAAGGAAAAAGAGACUGCUAAAAGAAAAGAUGUGAUGCCUCCAACAGUCUUAAAGGAAAAGGACUCUUCAAAAGGAAAGGAAAUGAAAGUUCCAGCUAUGACAAAGGAGAAAGCUGCGGUGAGGAAACAAGAGGAAAAGAAAGGCACUUCAGAGAAACCUCAUGACCACAAGCAUGAACAUAUUAAACAUGAAAAAUCAAUCUCUCACACUAAGCCAGAGGAGAAAAUUAAACAACAAAAGAGAGGCCUCACCGAGAGUUCAGCCCAAGCUAAGCCAGCAAAGCAUGAAGCAGUCAGGCAUGAAAAAGAUGUUCUACCUACAAAGCCCGUCAAACUGAAAACAACUUCAACCCCGAAGAAAAGAAAGACGUCUAAGGAAAAAGAAGGUAGGAAAUUACUCUGUGUAUUCAUAUAUGUGUAGAUGGAAGAUCACAAGGAUGAUCAGAGGACUCAAGCACCUCUCCUCUGAAGACAGGUGGAAGGAGCUGGGCUUGUUCAGCUUUCCUUGGGAGAUCCUUUUUCAGUCUUUCAAUACUUAAAGUGAGGAGAGGGACAGACUUUUUACAUGGUCUGGUAAUGAUAGGACAAGGGGGAAUGAUUUUAACCAAAAGAGGUGAGAAAUAGUUUAGAUAUUAGGCAGAAAUUCUUCACUUAGAGACUGGUGAGACACUGAAACAAGUUUCCCAGAGAAGCUGUGGGUGCCUCAUACCUGUAAGUCUUCAGGCUUGACUUAGUCAUUUGCAACCCUGACUAUAGCAGGGGGCAUAGAACUAGCUGUUGUUCUCUUCCAACCCAAGCCUUCCUACGAUUCUAACUUUAAAAUACUUCAGAUCAUAAUCUUGCAUGUAUUUGUAUAUGGAAAAAAAAAACAAAAAAAACAAAAAACAAAAAAAAAAAAACAAAAAAAACAAAAAAAACCCAACUCCUAAAAUAUCUAUAUUAAUUUUCAAAGAAUUGUAUUUGAAAAGUCUAGGUAAUAAUCUAAUAAGAAUUAGAAUUAAAAAUAUCUCCAACCUUGAACUCUGUUACCUGUCCCUUUCCUUUUUCUGCCUAGAAAAAACAACUGAGAAGAAACCUCUGAAAGAUGAAAAACACAAAGGUAAUAAAGGGAUGAAAAUCUCUGCA